AGCGAACGCUGGCGGCAGGCUUAACACAUGCAAGUCGAGCGGGCAUAGCAAUAUGUCAGCGGCAGACGGGUGAGUAACGCGUGGGAACGUACCUUUUGGUUCGGAACAACUGAGGGAAACUUCAGCUAAUACCGGAUAAGCCCUUACGGGGAAAGAUUUAUCGCCGAAAGAUCGGCCCGCGUCUGAUUAGCUAGUUGGUGAGGUGAUGGCUCACCAAGGCGACGAUCAGUAGCUGGUCUGAGAGGAUGAUCAGCAACAUUGGGACUGAGACACGGCCCAAACUCCUACGGGAGGCAGCAGUGGGGAAUAUUGGACAAUGGGCGCAAGCCUGAGCCAGCCAUGCCGCGUGAGUGAUGAAGGCCCUAGGGUUGUAAAGCUCUUUUGUGCGGGAAGAUAAUGACGGUACCGCAAGAAUAAACCCCGGCUAACUUCGUGCCAGCCGCCGCGGUAAAAC
rnacentral:rRNA from 1 species